AAUAACGAUAGAUAAGAUGGGGCUGGAGGAGGACAUGGAUGCCUUUUGCUUUCCCAUCCUUGUCUGCCACCGGAACGAGGAAACCCUAAUUUCUCGAACUCUCCUGUAGAGGUCUUCCUCCUUUCUCUAUCCGCUACCUUCCCGGAAAUUUCUCAGCUACUCCACCAAUUUAUGCAGUCCUACGCCCUUUUGUAUCUUUCCCUUGCUCACUGUCCCCAUCUCUUUCCUCUCGUCUUUCCUCGAUUUCAUCCAAUUAUUCCUCAGUUUUCUUCAAAGGUUGGUGCUUUGAAGGAAUGAAUCCAAGGAAUUGGCUUUGAUUAUUCCUUUUCUUGUGUUUCUUCGGGGAAAAUCGAAGCUUGGAAGCGAUGAUGAAAGCGACGCUGGUGAUUUUCGCCCCCAAAUUUUGGUAAAGUUUGGAUCUUUUUCAAGGUUUUAGAUCCGUGGUAGUCUUCUCAAAGUUUCUUUGCGUCCGUCUGAGGCGAUAGCAAUGGAUUCCUCGCUGGGUUUGGAGAGCCGACGCCCAAUUUGUAGAUACUGAGGUUCGGUAGGAUUUGGAUUGGAUUCUUUUGCUGUUUUUCUUGGGGGUUUGGGAGAGGAAUCGAUGUCGUUCAAGAGCAUCAUCCAGGACAUGAGGGACGAGAUAGGCAGCAUCUCGAGGAAGGGAUUUGAGGUGAGGCUUGGGUAUGGCCUGAGAUCGAGGUCGCAUCGGGUGGUCCAUGAUGCACUGGGGCGGCCGCUGGUGGAUGCCUUGAAGCAGAGCUGCUGGGCUAAUAUGCCGCCAGAGCUCCUGCGGGAUGUUCUGAUGAGGAUAGAGGAGGCCGAGAGCUCGUGGCCCCCGAGGAAGGAUGUUGUGGCCUGUGCCGGAGUGUGCCGGAGCUGGAGGGAUAUCAUGAAGGAAAUUGUGAAGACUCCUGAGCUGUCUGGCAAGCUGACCUUCCCAAUCUCAUUGAAGCAGCCUGGCCCAAGGGACUUUUCUCUCCAGUGUUUCAUAAAGCGGAAUCGAGCCACACAAACGUAUCAUCUUUACCUUGGUCUAAGCCAAGCAUUAACGGAUAAUGGCAAAUUCCUUCUUGCUGCACGCAAAUGCCGACGUCCUACAUGCACUGACUACCUCAUCUCGCUGGAUGCGGAUGACAUGUCAAAGGGAAGUGGAACCUAUAUUGGGAAGUUAAGAUCAAACUUUUUGGGUACCAAGUUUACAGUUUAUGAUGCUCAGCCUCCUCAUGCCGGAGCCAUUGUCUCAAAAGGUCGCUCCACUCGUAUUGUGGGUUCUAAACAAGUCUCUCCUAGAGUUCCUGCUGGAAAUUACCCAGUUGCCCACAUUGCUUAUGAGUUGAAUGUGCUAGGUUCCAGAGGUCCUAGAAGAAUGCAGUGUGUCAUGGACUCCAUCCCUGCUUCUGCAAUAGAACCAGGAGGGGUGGCUCCCACACCAACGGAGUUCCUUCUUAGCAGCCUUGAUUCAUUCCCAUCAAUUCCAUUCUUCAAAUCCAAGUCAUUUCGCUCAGAAAACUUGUCAGGGCCUUUAUCCGGCCAGAAGGAGGGAAAGUUGGUGUUAAAGAACAAAGCUCCAAGGUGGCAUGAGCAGCUCCAGUGCUGGUGCCUAAAUUUUAGGGGACGGGUGACUGUUGCAUCAGUGAAGAACUUCCAGCUGGUGGCUUCAGAAGAGAAUGGACCAGCUGGCCAGGAGCACGAUAAGGUAAUUCUUCAAUUUGGCAAGGUGGGAAAGGACUUGUUUACCAUGGAUUACCGCUAUCCAAUAUCAGCAUUUCAGGCAUUUGCUAUCUGCCUCAGUAGUUUCGACACCAAAAUAGCUUGUGAGUAAGACAAGCAGCUUACAUCCUCAGGUGCUUCUAGAUGCUGAGCCAUCUGAAUAAAUUUGGGAAGAAGCAAGGGACGGCACAGAUUUAGGAGCAUGUAGGUCCCUUGGUGGUCCAAUGAAUGCUUAGAACGUAACAUCAAUUUUAAGAGCUGUUGCUUGCUCACGAGGAUCGGGAGCAACUUGUCCCUCUCGUUCCAUGAACAUAAUUGGAGCAAUCUUUAUUUCUAAUCUGCGCAUUAGCAGCCGCCAUACAUAUUCGGAGAAAAGAAUGGAUAAUUUCAAUAUAAUUCAAAUAGUGGACAAAAGUAUUUUGCUGUAACUUGUUUUCUGAAUUUAUGUAAUAUUUGGAUGCAGAUAUGAUGGAUAAACAUUCCUUUUCUGAAUACAAAGGAAAUGGCAGGAAAAUUUUACUGCCAAGAAA